CCCUUAGAGUUUGAUCAUGGCUCAGGAUGAACGCUAGCGGCAGGCCUAACACAUGCAAGUCGAACGGUAACAGGAAAGAGCUUGCUCUUUUGCUGACGAGUGGCGCACGGGUGCGUAACGCGUAUACAAUCUACCUUUACAGGGGGAUAGUCUUUAGAAAUGAAGAAUAAUAUCCCAUAGUAAGUGACUAUGGCAUCAUAGACACUUUAAAGUUUCGGCGGUAAAAGAUGAGUAUGCGUCCUAUUAGCUAGAUGGUGUGGUAACGGCACACCAUGGCGACGAUAGGUAGGGGCCCUGAGAGGGGGAUCCCCCACACUGGUACUGAGACACGGACCAGACUCCUACGGGAGGCAGCAGUGAGGAAUAUUGGACAACGGGCGAGAGCCUGAUCCAGCCAUGCCGCGUGCAGGAAGACUGCCCUAUGGGUUGUAAACUGCUUUUAUACAGGAAGAAACCUUUUCACGUGUGAGAAGCUGACGGUACUGUAAGAAUAAGGAUCGGCUAACUCCGUGCCAGCAGCCGCGGUAAUACGGAGGAUCCAAGCGUUAUCCGGAAUCAUUGGGUUUAAAGGGUCCGUAGGUGGAUAAUUAAGUCAGAGGUGAAAGUCUGCAGCUCAACUGUAGAAUUGCCUUUGAUACUGGUUAUCUUGAAUUAUUGUGAAGUGGUUAGAAUAUGUAGUGUAGCGGUGAAAUGCAUAGAUAUUACAUAGAAUACCAAUUGCGAAGGCAGAUCACUAACAAUAUAUUGACACUGAUGGACGA
rnacentral:rRNA from 1 species